GGAAGGAUCAUUACAAAUCAUGGCGUACCUCGCGUUUCGCGAGGUCUCACGUCCAUUUUUCGUAUUUAAAACAUCCCACUCUUUUAAUAAAUUUAUGAUAAAAUUUUAAUAAAAAAAGAUCACUUUCAACAACGGAUCUCUUGGCUCUCGCAUCGAUGAAGAACGUAGCGAAGUGCGAUAAGUAAUGUGAAUUGCAGAAUUCCGUGAAUCAUCGAAUUUUUGAACGCAAAUUGCACUCUCCGGUUUUCCGGGAGAGUAUGCCUGUUUGAGGGUCAGCCUAUAAAAAAUCGACAUCGUUGCUGUUUCGCGGUGGCGUUUGUCGGAAAUUGGGUCAUCUUAAAUCUUUUGGUUAAGCGACUUAAAAUUUUCUUUACGAUUCCAUAAACGUUUCUAAGAUUUAUUUCUUUACACGUUUAAGGUUUUUAUCGAUCUUUAUUAGACGUGGCUGUCAUAUCGGAUCGCGUCCAUAAUUUUUCGUUAACUGACCUCAGACAGGUAAGAGUACCCGCUGAACUUAAGCAUAUCAAUAAGCGGAGGAAAAGAAAAUAACAAUGAUUCCCUUAGUAACGGCGAGUGAAGGGGGAAAAGCUCAAAUUUUAAAUCGGCGUAGGUUUACCUAGUCGAGUUGUAAUUUGAAGAAGCGUUUACCGCGUCCGGGUCGACCCAAAUCCUUUGGGAUAAGGUAUCAUGGAGGGUGAGAAUCCCGUCCGGUUGACCUCAGGACGUUCUACGUUACGCUCUCAAAGAGUCGAGUUGUUUGGGAUUGCAGCUCAAAAUGGGAGGUAAAUUUCUCCUAAGGCUAAAUACCGGCGAGAGACCGAUAGCGAACAAGUACCGUGAGGGAAAGAUGAAAAGAACUUUGAAAAGAGAGUUAAAUAGUACGUGAAAUUGUUGAAAGGGAA
rnacentral:misc_RNA from 1 species